UACGGAGGGUGCGAGCGUUGUCCGGAAUCACUGGGCGUAAAGAGCUCGUAGGUGGCCUGUCGCGUCGGCUGUGAAAACUCGGGGCUCAACUCCGAGCUUGCAGUCGAUACGGGCAGGCUAGAGUUCGGCAGGGGAGACUGGAAUUCCUGGUGUAGCGGUGAAAUGCGCAGAUAUCAGGAGGAACACCGGUGGCGAAGGCGGGUCUCUGGGCCGAUACUGACACUGAGGAGCGAAAGCGUGGGGAGCGAACAGG
rnacentral:rRNA from 1 species